GGCGCAACUGCAUGGCCUCCACGACCUUCUGCACCACCUGCUCCCGCUGUUCGCUCACCUUUUGCAGUGCCCGGCUCCGCUUGGAGUCAUUGUCCUGCCACCCACAACACAGGGAACCAGGUUUCUAGCAACUGGACGUCUGACAUCAUGAACACCAGUGAAAACAAGAAAUGACAGGGAAAAGUGACUCCUUAACGAAUGUGCAGGGCAACAGCAAGCUCGACUGGGCCCAAAGCAACAAAAUGAAACCAAAAAAGGCAGAGAAGGUAACCAUUGGUCUGAUCUGUGGUGGAGAAGAUGGGCAACUCAGUUGGCGCUGGGCACUGUUGGGAAAAC